rnacentral:rRNA from 1 species
UACGUAGGGUGCGAGCGUUGUCCGGAAUUAUUGGGCGUAAAGAGCUCGUAGGCGGUUUGUCACGUCUGCUGUGAAAUCCCGAGGCUCAACCUCGGGCCUGCAGUGGGUACGGGCAGACUGGAGUGCGGUAGGGGAGAUUGGAAUUCCUGGUGUAGCGGUGGAAUGCGCAGAUAUCAGGAGGAACACCGAUGGCUAAGGCAGAUCUCUGGGCCGUAACUGACGCUGAGGAGCGAAAGCCAGGGGAGCAAACGGG